GAUGAACGCUGGCGGCGUGCCUAAUACAUGCAAGUAGAACGCUGAAGGAAGGAGCUUGCUCUUUCCGGAUGAGUUGCGAACGGGUGAGUAACGCGUAGGUAACCUGCCUGGUAGCGGGGGAUAACUAUUGGAAACGAUAGCUAAUACCGCAUAACAGUAGAUGUUGCAUGAUAUCUACUUAAAAGGUGCAAUUGCACCACUACCAGAUGGACCUGCGUUGUAUUAGCUAGUUGGUGAGGUAACGGCUCACCAAGGCGACGAUACAUAGCCGACCUGAGAGGGUGAUCGGCCACACUGGGACUGAGACACGGCCCAGACUCCUACGGGAGGCAGCAGUAGGGAAUCUUCGGCAAUGGACGGAAGUCUGACCGAGCAACGCCGCGUGAGUGAAGAAGGUUUUCGGAUCGUAAAGCUCUGUUGUAAGAGAAGAAGGAGUGUGAGAGUGGAAAGUUCACACUGUGACGGUAUCUUACCAGAAAGGGACGGCUAACUACGUG
rnacentral:rRNA from 1 species